rnacentral:rRNA from 1 species
GACGGAGGAUGCAAGCGUUAUCCGGAAUGAUUGGGCGUAAAGCGUCCGCAGGUGGCAGUUCAAGUCUGCUGUCAAAGACCGGGGCUUAACCCCAGAAAGGCAGUGGAAACUGAAAGGCUAGAGGAUGGUAGGGGCAGAGGGAAUUCCCAGUGUAGCGGUGAAAUGCGUAGAGAUUGGGAAGAACACCGGUGGCGAAAGCGCUCUGCUGGGCCAUAACUGACACUCAGGGACGAAAGCUAGGGGAGCGAAUGGG